UCAAGGAGGAAAACAUGGAGAGUGCAUGAGAAGAGGAAGCCCCUAAGAAGUUCCCUUUAGCUCUUGAGAUCUGUGGUGGUUCAUCCCAUAUUUUAGGAACUAUGGAACCACCCAAUAAGGAAACCUGAGUCAAGAUGACUUCCAAAGGUAUCAUUGGAACAUCUAUGGUCCUCAAAGAGCCCAGGAAAGUGCUUGCUGGCCUUUUAAAUAUGUUUUUGCUUUCCAUGGAGUACCAUAACCAACAUCUGAUUAUUAUUUGGGAAUUUGAGUUCUGUCCACGUCAAAAAGAGUCACUAUGCUCUAUUUUGAAAUUCUAUUCCCAGAAGUUUCCAAGCUGCUUCCCUGUCUCUGCCUCACCCUCCAUCACUUUCAACCUAGCCAAAUGCAGGAUGGAGCUUGAAAGGGC